rnacentral:rRNA from 1 species
UACGUAGGAGACGAGCGUUGUCCGGAUUUACUGGGCGUAAAGAGCGCGCAGGCGGUCGUUCAAGUCGAGUGUGAAAGCCCCCGGCUCAACUGGGGAGGGUCACUCGAUACUGAUCGACUGGAAGGCAGGAGAGGGAAGCGGAAUUCCCGGUGUAGUGGUGAAAUGCGUAGAUAUCGGGAGGAACACCGGUGGCGAAGGCGGCUUCCUGGCCUGUUCUUGACGCUGAGGCGCGAAAGCUAGGGGAGCAAACGGG